rnacentral:lncRNA from 1 species
UUUUGAGCAGUUAACUCACGGCUUUGACCUCGGAAAAAAAGUUCAUCGAAACCCUAUCAAGGGACUAUGCUAGUUUUAAUCGUAUUUAAAAAAUUAAGAUUUUGACGCAAAAAUUAUUCUAAUCCAAAUUCACAUAUAAAAUAUAUUAAUUAAAUAAAAAAAAUUUGAAAAAAAAUUACAUAAAAUUAUGAAACUGCCCUUUUGAACUAAACUUAAGCACAUUUCGGCAUGAAAAUUCUUAAGCACUGUACGGCUGAGCGGGCGGGAAAUGCUGACUUGCUGAGUAGUCUAC